CUGCCUGGGGGCCCUCUUCCCGUCUCCCCCGCCCCCUGGGGAGGUUCUGUGCGGCGUCCACGGGGUCACGGGGCUGCUGGCCGGAGGGCUGGCGAGGACCCGAGUUUGGCCAGGUUAUCAAGUUUCGUGGUCAGCCACCUUCGCCCCUGACCAGAGCUGUCUUUCCAAAACAGAACAUUCAGUCACCGCCCGUCCCUGUGCUCAGCUGUCCUUGUGCUCCUGACCUCGCUUCCUGCCCACCCGCCCGUUUGUUUUUUUCCUCCCCACCCCCUAGUAUCCUUGUCUCUUACUGACAUCUCGCGAAGAUGACCAGGGCAGGCAAGACAGAGUCAGAGAGAAAGAGAAGCUGAGAGGCCGAGACGGGAGAGAAUCGGAGAGACUGUCAGGCACUGACGGAUCAAGACAGAGGACGUGUGCCCAAGACCUCGGCUCCUGUAUCUUUGUUCUCCAGCAUCUGUUGCUGCUCGACACAGAGGAGGAGUGCUGGCGUGUUACUUACUGAGCGCUUACCAUAUGUCGUGCCUCUGGGUUUCAUCUGGAAGUGGGAAGAAGUCUGACAUGCCGACCCUGACUCAGAGUGUGGUCAGGGUCAGACACGACGGUGCUACGUCAUCAGUGGGUCUCCUUGGUGGAAGCUGGGUGCACUCCGAAGAGCAAAGGUUUUGGAGAUACACAGUGGGUUUGUGUCCCGAUCCUUCUCUGUGUGGCCUCAAGCAAAUUGCUUGACCCCUCUCUCCAAACCUAGACUCCAAACCCAGAUUUGCUCAUCCUACCUGGUAGGAUUGUUGCCAGCCCAUGCUUAUGAAAUGCAAGGCCCAGGCCUGGAUGUGACUGACAGAUACCGAGGUGGGCCUCAGCUUGUAAGGCUGGCAGAGCCUCUUAAUUUUCCAUCCCUGCCUUUCAAUGCGACGCAAGCUUCCUGCAGUGAGGGCCACAAACCAGGGAAGAGCUGGAGUCGGCGAAUCCAGCGCAUCUGGAUUCAGCUGUUACGCCUGCACCCAAGCUGCGAGAGAGGCUGCGAAAGUGAGUUUUCUUGUGUCUGCCGUGGGGAGGCGUGGGCUCCCCAGGUUGACGCUCUGCACACAAAUCUGCCCUGAGACACGGUGCAGGGGGAAGGGGGUCUGGAAAGGCAGACGGAAGACAUGGGUGUCUCACCCCAUCCGGAAGAGGAGUUCCGUCCCAUGCUGUUUACAUGGGACUCUAUGCAACAUAUUUAUUCAUUUAUUUUCCACUCUGUUCUCUCAACGCUGCUAUUGUCAGUUUCAUGAGGGGAACUUCUGUGUCCUCAGGGACUGA
rnacentral:lncRNA from 1 species